GACGAACCGUGCGAACGUUGUUCGGAUUCACUGGGCUUAAAGGGCGCGUAGGCGGACAAUCAAGUCGAGGGUGAAAUCUUUCAGCUUAACUGGAAACGUGCCUUCGAUACUGGUGGUCUCGAGGGAGGUAGGGGCAUGCGGAACUUCCGGUGGAGCGGUGAAAUGCGUAGAUAUCGGAAGGAACGCCGGUGGCGAAAGCGGCGUGCUGGACCUCUUCUGACGCUGAGGCGCGAAAGCUAGGGGAGCGAACGGG
rnacentral:rRNA from 1 species